ensembl:lncRNA
GGAAAUUCAAGGGUCAAGGCUGAAAUCUAACCGCUGUUCCUUCUCAGGUAUCCUGUUUUCUAAAGGCGCACUUCUCUCCAGGCUGGAACAGUGGAGAGCACUGGGUCUCAAGAGAGUUGAUGCUCCGAAGGAAAAUGUACCCAGGUGAGGGUUUAAAGAACAAACAGCCAGAAGAAUGAACUAACAUUUCUGAUUUUUAAGAUAUGGUAAAUUAGUGGCCUUUUAUACAGGUAUUCAAAUUCCUUAAAACCUAGCUGGAGGCCUUGAGGUUUUCUGAUGAUGACCUGCAUUAUGUAGUUUGCCUUGGGUGAAUAGUAUAAAUGUGUGUGGCUUGGGUAUUUUAUUUAUUUAUUUGUAUUUUUUUAAACAGUCUUCAGUUGUUUUUCUUUUUAAAUUAG